AGCGAACGUUAGCGGCGGGCCUAACACAUGCAAGUCGAGCGAGAAAGUGGCUUCGGCCAUCAGUAAAGCGGCGGACGGGUGAGUAACACGUAGGUAAUCUUCCUUUGAGCGGGGGACAACGAGCCGAAAGGCUCGCUAAUACCGCAUACGUUUCUCGGGACUCUGGUCCUGGGAAGGAAAGCUAGGCAGCAAUGUCCGGCACUCGAGGAGGAGCCUGCGUCGCAUCAGCUAGUUGGUGGGGUAACGGCCUACCAAGGCGAAGACGCGUAGCUGGUCUGAGAGGAUGAUCAGCCACACUGGGACUGGGACACGGCCCAGACUCCUACGGGAGGCAGCAGUGGGGAAUUUUGGACAAUGGGCGCAAGCCUGAUCCAGCCAUGCCGCGUGCAGGAUGAAGGCCUUCGGGUUGUAAACUGCUUUUGUACGGAACGAAACGGCUCUUUCUAAUAAAGAGGGCUAAUGACGGUACCGUAAGAAUAAGCACCGGCUAACUACGUGCCAGCAGCCGCAGUAAUAC
rnacentral:rRNA from 1 species